ACACGGUGUACAGGAUUUAUUACCAACUUGCGUGCUGCUUAAAAUUUUAAACGAUGCAAGAAAUGGGGAGAAAGAGAAAUAGCUGAUGGAAAAGAGAUUGUUACAGAAAACGAAAUUUGGCAUGUGGAGUCAUCCUUUACCUGCGAAUUUGGACAUGCCUCAGUGGGCUGUUCAUAGGUAAGCCACUAUCUAUUUUUUGCUGGUCAUCUGGCCAGCUCUAGGAAAGGUGGUGUGUGACCUAAGGACACUCAGAUAUGUUUCCUCCUACAAGUUGUGUUUUUUUUUUUGAAGGCAGUAGAGACCUGCC